UACGUAGGGGGCCAGCGUUGUCCGGAUUCAUUGGGCGUAAAGCGCACGCAGGCGGUCUGGUAAGUCAUCGGUGAAAUCCCUCGGCUCAACCGGGGGGGGUCCGGUGGAACUGCCAGGCUGGAGGUCGGGAGGGGGAAGCGGAAUUCCCGGUGUAGUGGUGGAAUGCGUAGAGAUCGGGAGGAACACCAGUGGCGAAGGCGGCUUCCUGGCCCGAGCCUGACGCUGAGGUGCGAAAGCGUGGGGAGCGAUCCGG
rnacentral:rRNA from 2 species